rnacentral:rRNA from 1 species
CAUGCAAGUGGUUAUAUUAACCCGACAGUUUAAAUAAGUGUUCAAUGCUACAUUAAACUUAUCACAUAUCACGCAUAGAUGAUUUUGUUUACAGUAGUAACAAUUUCAGCGUGAAUCACCCAUCACAGUGAAUCACUGAAAUUUACCCAAUAUCAGUAUCACUUACGCAACUGCAGACAGCUGCUUAAUACAGUCACACUUGUCUUGACUUGGCGUAAUAAAAAUUUUCAUUGAAACACCCGCUCGCGGGCAGCUCGGUGAAUUUUUUUAUUUUGUUGCAUCACGCAUACAAAAUUUUUUGAUUUCUCUGUAUCGCUUAUUCUUAAGGACAUGCGUUACACCGUGACAAUUUUCUUUAUGGAUAACUCAGGGAAAGUUUGGCUAAUACGUACGAGUACUUUACCACACACACACACACACACACACACACUCAACAAUUCAAAAUUUUUUUGUAUUGCUGUGUAUCAACUACUACUCAGCACUCARUGGUAAACUUUGGCUGCCUCGCGCAGUCAGUUUAAAGUUUAACUGCAACAUGAGAGACAUUGAGCACGCACGUGUCGUGUCUUCGGACACUUCACAUCACGCUGAGCAGACUUUGCGAAGUUUACUUUGCGAAGCAUGUCAUACAAGCAUCUACAGCAUCAAGUCACAGGGUUGGCAAGUGUAUUUUUGAACCUUCAAAGCAGUCACGCAUACGGAAGAGUAGUUUCUGAUCCCAUAGAAGGAGCACCGUACAAUGAGAGACCGCUCUUAGUUCUAAGGAACGCAGCAGGCGCGUAAAUUGCCCAAUGCUAAUACCCUACAAUCAAAUUGUAUUUACAUGCGUUAACAAUUUACAACAUACAAGUUUUAAUGACAGACAUUAUAACACUUUCAUUUUUUCUGUUACAUUACACACAUAUAUAUCCUUGUUCGUUGUAUUCAGCAUCCAUAAUAUUAAUUUAUUAUUUUACUGAGGCAGUGACAAGCUGUAACGGUUGAGUAUAAAAAUGACGAGUGUCUGGCAUUGCCGCUCUUUCGGGAGCUUGGCAAGUUGCCGACGCUUUGUGUGCUCAAUUGGAAUGCGGUGAGUUUAAGCAACUCAGAACCUUUGGACGGUGUUAGUAAAAUUUCACUGUUCGUGUAUCUGAAUUUCAAGCGGAGGGCAAGUCUGGUGCCAGCAGCCGCGGUAAUACCAGCUCCACUGGCCUAUACAAUCAUUGUUGC